AACGCUAGCUACAGGCUUAACACAUGCAAGUCGGGGGGCAGCAUGAUUGAAGCUUGCUUCAAUUGAUGGCGACCGGCGCACGGGUGAGUAACACGUAUCCAACCUUCCGUACACUCAGGGAUAGCCUUUCGAAAGAAAGAUUAAUACCUGAUGGUAUCUUAAGCACACAUGUAAUUAAGAUUAAAGAUUUAUCGGUGUACGAUGGGGAUGCAUUCCAUUAGAUAGUAGGCGGGGUAACGGCCCACCUAGUCGACGAUGGAUAGGGGUUCUGAGAGGAAGGUCCCCCACAUUGGAACUGAGACACGGUCCAAACUCCUACGGGAGGCAGCAGUGAGGAAUAUUGGUCAAUGGGCGCGAGCCUGAACCAGCCAAGUAGCGUGAAGGAUGAAGGUCCUACGGAUUGUAAACUUCUUUUAUAAGGGAAUAAAGUCACCCACGUGUGGGUGUUUGUAUGUACCUUAUGAAUAAGCAUCGGCUAACUCCGUGCCAGCAGCCGCGGUAAUACGGAGGAUGCGAGCGUUAUCCGGAUUUAUUGGGUUUAAAGGGAGCGUAGACGGGUCGUUAAGUCAGCUGUGAAAGUUUGAGGCUCAACCUUAAAAUUGCAGUUGAUACUGGCGUCCUUGAGUACGGUUGAGGCAGGCGGAAUUCGUGGUGUAGCGGUGAAAUGCUUAGAUAUCACGAAGAACUCCGAUUG
rnacentral:rRNA from 1 species